rnacentral:rRNA from 1 species
CCUGACGCAGCGACGCCGCGUGGGGGAAGAAGGCUUUGGGUUGUAAACCCCUUUUCUCGGGGAAGAGUAAGGACGGUACCCGAGGAAUAAGGUUCGGCUAACUACGUGCCAGCAGCCGCGGUAACACGUAGGAACCGAGCGUUGUCCGGAUUUACUGGGCGUAAAGGGCGAGUAGGUGGCCCGUUAAGUCUUGUGUGAAAUCUCCCGGCUCAACUGGGAGGGGUCAUGAGAUACUGGCAGGCUUGAGGGCAGUAGAGGAAAGUGGAAUUCCCGGAGGAGUGGUGGAAUGCGUAAUACCGGGAGGAACACCAGUGGCGAAAGCGACUUUCUGGGCUGUUCCUGACACUGAGGCGCGAAAGCAUGGGGAGCAAACCGGAUUAGAUACCCGGGUAGUCCAUGCCCUAAACGAUGGAUACUAGGUAUUGGGGGUAUCGACCCCCCCUGUGCCGAAGCUAACGCGAUAAGUAUCCCGCCUGGGGAGUACGGCCGCAAGGCUAAAACUCAAAGGAAUUGACGGGG